UGUCUGUUUCAAAUCUUGGCCAUCUUUUCAGAGAAGAAAUUCUUCCUAAUGUCGAACCUAACUGUACACUGAGGCUCACUUGGCUGGAGUGAAGCUGACAAUGACUUAUCCAUCUUCAGUUGCAGCAUGGCAGCAUCUCUGAUCUUUGAGUAACUUGUCUGUAUUUUGUGUCUUUUUAAUGUAUGUGUGAGCACAGCUGAAAAAAACUAGUCAAAAGCAGUAUCAGCACCAGAGGGAAGUGACCAUCUGCUGUCUCUAGAGAGAAAUCUGUCUUGAAAAAUAUUAUAGAAACUGCUUUUCCUUCUUCAUAUGUCUUCUGGACAACUUAAAAAGCACAGAAACCAAAUGCUCUUGAGUACGCACUCCUGGCAGGUGUUCACAGAUAAUCAGUGUGUCAAGCUGAACAAAAGACUGGAGUGUCAGAUGGAUCUGUGCAGACCUGCUGGGCAAGGAAAAUGAGGAUGCGAUGAAAAUCAAAAAAGUGGGAAAUAUUCAACAUGGAGCUGAUGGGAAAGUGGCUCUAAGGUAUCAGACAUGUCCUCAAGGGAGGGACAGUCUCCAGCUCAUUCAAGACCAUUUCCUGGAUUGCUGCAGUGAUUAAAGCCAAUUUGGGGAAUACAGGAUCAUGAACAUGUGGAAGAAUGAAAGAGUCAGGACAUGGUCACAAAAAAAAAAGUUUUCUUAGAUCCUGGCAAGGAAAUUGAAGUUUUUUUUUAAAUA